GACGAACGCUGGCGGCGUGCCUAAUACAUGCAAGUAGAACGCUGAAGGAGGAGCUUGCUUCUCUGGAUGAGUUGCGAACGGGUGAGUAACGCGUAGGUAACCUGCCUGGUAGCGGGGGAUAACUAUUGGAAACGAUAGCUAAUACCGCAUAACAGUAGAUGUUGCAUGACAUUUGCUUAAAAGGUGCAAUUGCAUCACUACCAGAUGGACCUGCGUUGUAUUAGCUAGUUGGUGGGGUAACGGCUCACCAAGGCGACGAUACAUAGCCGACCUGAGAGGGUGAUCGGCCACACUGGGACUGAGACACGGCCCAGACUCCUACGGGAGGCAGCAGUAGGGAAUCUUCGGCAAUGGACGGAAGUCUGACCGAGCAACGCCGCGUGAGUGAAGAAGGUUUUCGGAUCGUAAAGCUCUGUUGUAAGAGAAGAACGAGUGUGAGAGUGGAAAGUUCACACUG
rnacentral:rRNA from 1 species